AUAAGAUCGGUCUUACCAGACAGAGCUCCAAACAAACCCUCAGGAAUGAUCUGUUGAAUAUCCUGUCUCUGUUUGUCACUUAGGUGUUCCAAUGAGGGCAACACUCCAGCAUCUGGUCUGGAGGGCAAAUACUGUUCCUCUGCCUCAUCCUCUUCCAAGACACUUUGAAUGAGAAACUGGAAGGAAGGAGUCUCUCUUAGGACACUGAGAGGACUGUGUACAUAUCGACCAUACAGCAGUUCAAAUGGGGAGAAUCCUGUUGAUGACUGCAGAACCUCUCGAUAUGCGAAAAGCAGGUUCACCCUUACCAGAGGAUAGGUGACCUCUUCACCGUGAACACACCUCAGAGCUACGCUCUGCCCUGACUCAGCCACUUGGCCUUCCAGACACUCUCGUCUCACCAAAGACUGGAUGCUUCUGGUAUCUAUCCGUGCUUUGUGCUGCCGUCCUGCUAUAGUAAC